AGGGAGAGGAAGGAAUGCUCGCCGUCCGGCUCAAAGCAGAUGCAGGGCUGUGGUGUUUGUGCUGUGCUUCACCCACACACGAGCAGCAGCACAGGAACUGACAGCACCCUGGCUAUCAAAGACAUUGUGGACCACUGCUCCUGAAGGACUGCCAAAAUGAAACAAUGCCAUGCUUACAUUAAUUUUAGCGAAAAGACCUCGUCUGUGCAGCUUUCAAUAUCUACCUUGGGGCUCUUCUUGGUCCAGCUGCGUCUUUUAAACUACUGCUGAGGACAUGACUGACGGUUCUACAGCUCACAGGAAUAAAAGCCCAGCUGCUUUCUGAGGUAGUCACUGAAAAAAAAUGAUCAAAUUAGUGUAGUGGUCUUGUGUUGUAAUUGAAAAUUUCUAUUAAAUCAGGAUCUCACACUGCUAGUUCCAGAUGGGCAAAUAUAUAUUCGUGGUUGGAACUGAGAAGAUGUUGGUCUGGUCCUCCUGAUAGACUUUGUUUAUUGACUUGUGAAUAUUACUAGAUUGAUUUUAUUUCAACAGGAUAUGGAUUCAUUGUUCCCCCUGAUCAAACAGCUUCUACAGAGUGGGGUACAUCCUCAGCUGCUGCAAACCAGCCUACCAUCACUGAAGCUAUUUUAUCCCAAAUCAACACCUGGGGUAACCCUAAACAUCCCAGAUUUGACACACAUCAGAUUGUGGAUGAAAUGUACCCUUUACCUCUGGACCUCGCAGCAGUCAGUUUUGACUGUGUCUUGUGCACAUUAGCAAAAGGGCAGCAAUCCUGUGAAACAAAUCCCCAUUACUUACCAGCAAAGAGGAUAAAAAGGAAAAGGUCCAGAAGGCUGGGAGAGUGUGAAAUGCUAGCUGGGCAUCUGCUAAACUUUCAGUACAUGUUGUCCAGUCUCUUGCAAGCUGAUCAAAGUGUUUUGUUAAUGAAGACAGCUCAAACAAAUUUUAAUUGAUAAGAAAUGUGUUCAGAAGAAAUUUGGCAUAAGAACCAUAGUUCUGUUAGAAAGCAGUCAUAGCCUGGUUUUAGGGUUCCCAGGACAUGACAGGGAGUGUGAAAUGACAGAAUAUCUGACAUAGCCAGGUUGAUACUUUAAUA